CAGGCUCAAUUUCCUUGGAACAGGAGGUCAUGGAGGGUGAGAACCCCGUACAUGGCUUGGGCGCCGCCGUCCUUGUGACGCAUCCUCUAAGAGUCGGGUUGUUUGGGAAUGCAGCUCAAAAUGGGUGGUAAAUUUCAUCUAAAGCUAAAUAUGGGCGAGAGACCGAUAGCAAACAAGUAGAGUGAUCGAAAGAUGAAAAGUACUUUGAAAAGAGAGUGAAACAGUACGUGAAAUUGUUGAAAGGGAAGCGUUUGGCAUCAGCCCAUGGCGGUGGUACGAACAUCCUUGCUUCGGCAUGGUGCACUCGUCCACCGUUGGGCCAGCGUCGGCUCUGCCUGCCAGAGAAAGGCCUUGGGGAAGUGGCUCUCCCUUCGGGGAGCGUGUUAUAACCCAUGGUGUCGUGUGGCUUUGGCGGGGCCGAGGUCCGCGGUUUUGUCCUAGGACGCUGGCGUAAUGGUUCCAAGCGACCCGUCUUGAAACACGGACCAAGGAGUCUAACAUCUAUGCGAGUGUUUGGGUGUCAAGCCCGGCCGCGCAAUGAAAGUGAAUGUAGGCGGGAGCCC
rnacentral:rRNA from 1 species